UUUGAUUAAUUUAUGUGGGUUUUUUUUUUUUUACCACCUCAGGUUCAAUUCCAGAAAAAAAUAUACUUCAAAUGAGACCUUUUGAGGGUUUUUUUUGACAAAAGGACAAUAGGUGUUAUGGCAGAUUGUAUUUUCCUUAGAUGAUUGCAACAAUAUCUUUCAUUCCACAUGCUCUUUUUACAAUAUGACUGACACUGUCAUUGAGUGAUGUGGUCUAUGUCCUCUCUCCUUAAAUGUGGUAUUUUUUUGACUGCUUCGGCAAAUAGAGUACAGUGGAAGUGAUGCCAUGUGACUUCUGAGAUUAGGUCAUAAAAGUCAACGCAGCUUCUGCCUUGUCCUCUUCGCACUCUCUCUUGGAAUGAUCUCUUUCGGAACAUAGCUGUUAGGGCAGCAAGGAAGCCAAGCAGCCACUUGGAGAGGCCACAUAUGUACAGGUAUUCCAGCCGACAGCUGAGGUCCUCAGAACAGCCAGCAUUAACUGCCAGACAGACUCCAAAAUGUUUAAAGUAACUCCUUAUAUGGAAGAUUAUUACGUGCAAGUAUUGUGAGAAGUUAAAGAUGUACAAAACAUGGACUUUUGCUCUUUCAAGACGAGUAAGUAGCAAGGGUUACCAGUGAAAGCGAAGGAGUCAUAUUGUAGAAGGAUCGGCCUUGAGACAACCAAGAAUUAACUAUUUCAAUCAAUUCUUAAGAAUCUUGGGACCUAGUCCCAUCCGUUAAUAUGUCAAAGCACUCCACCAUGUCCUUCACUUACUAAAAACAAUCCAGCUUCCAAAAAAGUCAAAACAGACAGAUCUUUAGUUGUCUUUUCCUGUCUCAUCUCAUUUCUCCUUUUCUCCUUUCCCCAGAUCUUUUCUCGGGGCGCCCCGCACGUUCCUUUCCCCAGGCGGCUUCUCCCCCUUCACCGUUUCUUCUCCUUCACUGGGUUGUCCCAGCAUCCCAACCUCUUGCAACAGCCCGCAGGAAACUGCUCCCUCCCCAAUUCUUCAAUCUCAGAAUCCACCAGACCUGGGUUAUACUGUGUACCUUCUAGAAAUGAGACUCAAUAAAGAGGCGCAGGAAACCGUGCACUGGAUUCCUAAAUUUCAUCUUUCUUAAAGUGCUUCAUCUACACCCAAAGGCUAACUGAGGCGCCGGGAGACUGGGCUCCCUGCCCAGGUGACAGCGACGCGUAAUCAUAACCCUCAGACAGCCCUUGUUGACGAGACAGCCGCAGCAACGACACUAGUAAACGAAGAGGAGCCGCGGCCGUGCCCACGCCAGCCAGACAAGGACCCAGCGCGCCUCCCACGCUCUCCGCCG
rnacentral:lncRNA from 1 species